UUCGAGUUAUUGCUUUGUCAGGUUGCAACAGGUAUACAAGAUUUUAUAGUACAUAGAUCAAUACUGUCAAGAAAACCAGCUCCCACCUCUUCCAGUCAUUUUAUGCGGGGAUUGGAAUGGAAGUAAAAAGGGGAAUGUAUAUAAGUUUCUGCAAUCAAAAGGUUUCAUCUCAGCCUAUGAUAUUGCUCAUCCAUGCACCAAUGGCAGCGAAGAUUUCUCUAAGUAGAUUAGCCAUUGUAACCACAGAAGCAAUAUGUACGGUGUAGAUUUUAUUUUGCUUCGCAAUCCCAGCAAACAUCUGAAGCCACUAAAAGAAAGCUUGAUGGAAGCAGUUCUUAGGAACAUCAAUAACCUGUCACUAAAAUUGUCACUAGAGGCCAUCGGCCCAUUACACCUUCUUGAAGCUGAUGGCAGUCACAUAAACUAUUCUUAGUUCUUGCAAGUUCUAGCUCAGGUAUUUCCCUGUUCAUGUUUGAGAAUAUUUUAAAAUUUUUUUUU